rnacentral:rRNA from 1 species
UAAUCCCCCAGUAUGUGAGACAGA